rnacentral:rRNA from 1 species
CAAUCGCCGCGGUAAUACGGAGGGUGCAAGCGUUAAUCGGAAUUACUGGGCGUAAAGCGCACGCAGGCGGUCUGUCAAGUCAGAUGUGAAAUCCCCGGGCUUAACCUGGGAACUGCAUUUGAAACUGGCAGGCUAGAGUCUUGUAGAGGGGGGUAGAAUUCCAGGUGUAGCGGUGAAAUGCGUAGAGAUCUGGAGGAAUACCGGUGGCGAAGGCGGCCCCCUGGACAAAGACUGACGCUCAGGUGCGAAAGCGUGGGGAGCAAACAGGAUUAGAUACCCCUGUAGUCCCUGUCUCUUAUAC